UACGUAGGGGGGCAAGCGUUGUCCGGAUUUAUUGGGCGUAAAGAGCGUGUAGGCGGCCAGGUAGGUCUGCUGUGAAAACUCGAGGCUCAACCUCGAGACGUCGGCGGAAACCAUCUGGCUAGAGUCCGGAAGAGGAGAGUGGAAUUCCUGGUGUAGCGGUGAAAUGCGCAGAUAUCAGGAAGAACACCCGUGGCGAAGGCGGCUCUCUGGGACGGUACUGACGCUGAGACGCGAAAGCGUGGGGAGCGAACAGG
rnacentral:rRNA from 1 species